rnacentral:tRNA from 1 species
UCAUUAACUAAUUGGCAGAUUAAUGCAUUAGAAUUAGAAUCUAAUUAAUCUUAA